UGAUUGACGAUGGAUUACCAGUGAGUGGCGGACGGGUGAGUAACACGUAGGUAACCUGCCCCGGAGUGGGGGAUAACAUUUGGAAACAGAUGCUAAUACCGCAUAACAACAAAAGCCACAUGGCUUUUGUUUGAAAGAUGGCUUUGGCUAUCACUCUGGGAUGGACCUGCGGUGCAUUAGCUAGUUGGUAAGGUAACGGCUUACCAAGGCGAUGAUGCAUAGCCGAGUUGAGAGACUGAUCGGCCACAAUGGAACUGAGACACGGUCCAUACUCCUACGGGAGGCAGCAGUAGGGAAUCUUCCACAAUGGGUGCAAGCCUGAUGGAGCAACACCGCGUGAGUGAAGAAGGGUUUCGGCUCGUAAAGCUCUGUUGUUGGAGAAGAACGUGCGUGAGAGUAACUGUUCACGCAGUGACGGUAUCCAACCAGAAAGUCACGGCUAACUACGUGCCAGCAGCCGCGGUAAUACGUAGGUGGCAAGCGUUAUCCGGAUUUAUUGGGCGUAAAGCGAGCGCAGGCGGUUGCUUAGGUCUGAUGUGAAAGCCUUCGGCUUAACCGAAGAAGUGCAUCGGAAACCGGGCGACUUGAGUGCAGAAGAGGACAGUGGAACUCCAUGUGUAGCGGUGGAAUGCGUAGAUAUAUGGAAGAACACCAGUGGCGAAGGCGGCUGUCUGGUCUGCAACUGACGCUGAGGCUCGAAAGCAUGGGGUAGCGAACAGGAUUAGAUACCCCUGGUAGUCCAUG
rnacentral:rRNA from 1 species